CUUCGUCAUCUUCAUCUCAGCAUUCUCUAAAAAACCCUAAUCUGCCAUGGAUAUUGGUGAUUUAGCUCCCCAAACUCCACCAAAGUGAUCCCACGGAACCACUAAAGCAUCCUCGUACUGAAUCCAUGAACUAGUUCCCUUGAAUACUCCUUAAAUAUCUUGAAUCUUGAAUCCAAAAUCAUAAUCUGUAAGAACCAAGUCCAAAUCCAGGCAUUCAAGGUGAUUGAUCUAGUCUUCUUAAGAGUUUAGAGUUGAUUUUGUCGUGAAAUAGUGUUGUAUAUUUGUUCUAGACAAAGAACAAGAAGUUUGGCGAUGAAAUCGGAAAGUCAGGAUCGAAAUCAAGUGCUAUGAGGUAAGUUCUUUUUCUGUUCAAAUCAUCUUGAUAUUCCGGCUUCUAUUCUUCUCCUUCACUUCUUUUUCUGGACAAUUCAGUCAGAAAUCGAGUCAAGAUUUGUCCAACUUGGUAAAUGUUGUUUGUUCUUCUCUAGUCUGUCAUUCAACCCUAUUAUGGUCAUGACAUGAUUGUUGUCUCAGUUUCAAUAUCACGUUUUAUCACUAGUUAAUAAAUUUGGGGCUCUAAUUUGAUUAAAUUACAAUGAUGUCUAGUUCAAUGAAUUUGUUCUUAUUUUUGCUACUUUUGAAAAAAUAAUUUUGGAUUUCAUUAUGUGGGAAAUUGUGGUGUCAAAUUUUAUUCUGCAGCAUUUAAACAGUUUAAUUGAUGUGAAACUAGCCCAAAUAUGGAUUCAAUUUGGGGUCUAUGACCCAUCUAGCAAGGCCAGUUGGCCCGGGUAGUUUUUAGGGUAAUAACAUGGUCAUAGAUAUUAUUUUGGAGUAAAUAGAUAGAUGAAUAUUUUUCUAACUGAUCAAGAAGAUUCUAGGAAGCUGGGUGGGGGGUAUAAUUUGAAUUUCAGAUUUUUCAUUAAGGUUAUAUAGACAAAAAUGUAAAUUCAAAUAGGGCUAAAAUGCAAAGCUGAAAUCCAUUGUUUACCCUAAUUUCCUUGCUAUAAAGGCACCUUUUCUUGCCUUUCAAGGCAGAACUAAGUGGUAGAAAAAUCCAAAAAUUAUAGUAGCCAAAAAUUGAUAAGAAAUCUAAUGUUCUAUUGAAAUUUUCGUCGAUUUUUCUUAGUUUUCAAUUGCUGAAAGUCAGUGGAAUCGGUGUUACUUGGUCUUAAUUCUCCGAAUCACUUUGUUGGUUUUAAAACAUCUGGAAAACUUAAGAAAAACUGAGUGGUGAUAAAAUGAGUUUGAGCUUGGGUAUAGAAUACGCUUGGUUUGAUUUUGUUAGUUGGUUUUGUUGAGUUUCUUUUUCUGAGGCAAUCCCAUUAUUUCAUUACUGAGUUGGUUGAAUCUGGGGUUGUUUGUUGCUGUUUUAUGCUGCUCUUCUUAUUUCACUCUUAUUUUGCCUUUUCCAAGUAUUCAUCUCACCUUCUAAUGUAUGAGAAAGGAUGAACAUGAAAUUGGUUUAUUCAAGUCGAGAUUUGUAAUAAUACAGUUAUUUUUGUUUACUGUUUAUGCAUUUUCGAAGUCAUCUGAAUUAGUUUAGUUUUCUUAUGUCUCCUACUAUUCUGUUUUGAAUAUGGAAUGAUGUAGCAGUUCUAACUUGUUAGUUCUUUAUACUGAUUACUAAAUGUGUGUGGAAGGUCACGAUAAAUGCUGGGUAAGAUCUGGAAGUUGUAUGUGCUCACAAGGUUCUAUUUCAUUGUUGAUCAAUGUGCAGAAAAACUCAGGUAUUCGUUUCUGUUGAGGAGAUAAAAAUUAAAAUUAAUUGGUAAAGCAGUAUUUAGCAUAUAAUCCACGAUAAAAAUGGGAAGCAUGACUAUAUCACUAGGG
rnacentral:lncRNA from 1 species